GCCUACGGGGGGCAGCAGUAGGGAAUUUUCGUCAAUGGGCGCAAGCCUGAACGAGCAAUGCCGCGUGAACGAGGAAGGUCUUCGGAUCGUAAAGUUCUGUUGAAAGGGAAAAAGAGCGGAGAGAGGAAAUGGUCUCCGAUUGAUAUUACCCUUCGAGGAAGUCACGGCUAACUACGUGCCAGCAGCCGCGGUAAUACGUAGGUGGCGAGCGUUAUCCGGAAUGAUUGGGCGUAAAGGGUGCGUAGGCGGCCUGCUAAGUCUGGAGUGAAAGGUACCGGCUCAACCGGUACAGGCUCUGGAAACUG
rnacentral:rRNA from 1 species